rnacentral:rRNA from 1 species
GAUGAACGCUAGCUACAGGCUUAACACAUGCAAGUCGAGGGACCGGCGCGCGGGUGAGUAACACGUAUCCAACCUGCCCUUUACUCGGGGAUAGCCUUUCGAGAGAAAGAUUAAUACCCGAUGUAAAGGAUGGGGAUGCGUUCCAUUAGUUUGUUGGUGAGGUAACGGCUCACCAAGCCUUCGAUGGAUAGGGGUUCUGAGAGGAAGGCCCCCCACAUUGGAACUGAGACACGGUCCAAACUCCUAGGUGAGGCAGCAGUGAGGAAUAUUGGUCAAUGGGCGUUAGCCUGAACCAGCCAAGUAGCGGGAAGGAGGAAGGCUUAUGGGUCGUAAACUUCUUUUAUAUAAGAAUAUGUAUUAUAUGAAUAAGGAUCGGCUAACUCCGUGCCAGCCGCCGCGGUAAUAC